UAUGGACAUGGUUUAGUGCUAGAGUUAGGUUAAUGGUUAGACUUGAUCUUGAGGGUCUUUUCCAACCAAAAUGACUCUCUGGUUCUAUAUUCUCUGUUUUCCACAGGAACAGAUUUUGCUGUAUGGCAUGUUUUUAAACCAGGCCCCCCACUGAGGGGCCAGCUGUGGGUUCACCACAGCCCUGCUUCCGCCUCGCCUUCCCCUCGCACUGUGGGGUGUCAGGCCCAGGGCAAGGCUGGGUUGGGCUGUCCCUCACCCAUCUCCCCAGCUGCCUGCUGCACAGGACCUUGUUUCAGCACAGCCCGGGGCUCUCUGUCCCCAGCCAUGCUGUAGGGUGCUGGUCUCCAGCCCCUCUGAUUCUGACCCCAGGAGCAGAAGGGAUUGUAGCUCUGGGCCACCUUCAGCCGCCAUUAUGCUGCAGGGAGCCUACUUCCUCGCUUAGGCACCGUGGGGCAGGCCCUGCCCGGCCGCCAUGUCCUGGAUCCCGCUCCCCGCUCAGCCCUGACAGGACUUGCCUUGCUGCUGCACCUUCCUAUUUCUUCUUCUUAAAAUAACAUCUUAAGUUCUCCUCAAAGUUAAAACAAAAACUGUUGGAAAGGAACUUACAAACAAAACAUUACGUGCCUGUCCCGAGCACCCCAAGGCUGAUCUUCUCCAGGUACUGGCCUGUGGCACAUCACUUCGUAAUAGUAAUGCCUGAACAAGAGGAACUGAUCACAAGUGAUGAAUUCCCAGUGGACCUAAAAGACCAAAAGGCAUCGCCUGCUCAACGGUGUCCCCUGCUGCGCAGACCUGCACCGAGGGACUCAAGCUUCAUGGGGGCACCUUGGCUGGUCAGGAGCAUUCAGUCCCAUGGGAGAUUUCCGACAUGUGCACUUGGGCCUAUCUAUUUCCUAAAUCAGAUGUAGCAGCUUAGCCUGGAACAGAAGCAACCUGAUGAAUUUCAGCUUCAGUGAGACCUCUGAAGCCAGCUCAGUUUUGGACUUGUAAUAACAUCAGAAAUUUCCUUUGUCCUUCUCCUUGAAAAUUGAGCCCUAUGGAUCAGCUGGGAUGUGGCUCAUCUCUCAGACAGAAAGGAUUUUGUACAAAAGUGUACUAUAAGAAAAAAAAAAAAAAACACAACACAGUAGGUAAUUUUUAAGGUGUUUUACCUCCACUAGAACUACUUUUUCCCUAUAAUGCAAAAGAUGAAUGAUAAUAAUCAAACAAAUAAUGUUAUUGUAAAGUGGUAAUGGACGAGAGUUUUCUGCUGUGUAGAUUACCAUCUUAUCAGUUGUCAAAGUCCAUGUGCAUUUGUCUUAUAGAAUUAUGCCUGCAGGGGGUAGCUAACCAUCCCACUACUCAGUAAUUGCUCUUUGGCUUAUUUAUCAGAAUUAUUGUGUUAUUGCCAGCAUUUGAAGAGUUUUUGUAAGAGGAAUUCAGGUACAAGUCACCUUCAGUUAUCUGUGUAUUAAUUGGCAUUUCUUAAUACCACAGACUCUCUUCUUCAGGACAUAUAUUGAAUUAAAGCUGUUUUACUGACAUCAAAUAAUGACAAACUUGAACCAGUACACAACCCAAGGACCUGGCUCCCCAAGAUUCACUCUGAUUUUCAAUUCAAUUCAAGAUAGGCAUCUUAUUCACUGAGUAUUCAUUUAUACUUAGGAAGUGAAACAUGGGGUAAAGUUUUGAAUUAGAGUCAUUUUUCUAUAUGGUUGUUAUACAGUAUAAUCUUCCUAGGGAAAAUAACAAACGAACAAAACCACCAACAAGAAAACAACCACCCCCAAACAAACAAACAAAAACCCAAAACAAAACAAACCCCAAACCUAUGCUUUUCUCUCAAAUCUGCUUUGCCUCAGAGAACAUUUAUAAAGAGUGCUUAUUAAAAAAUAAAUUUAAAAAAGGGAGGGAAAGAGGAGAAAAAUAUCUCAAACAAAAUUAUAGAAAAAUAUGUGAAGUUUUAAAUGUCACCUUUCCCAAUGAAGUUAGCAGUAGAAACUCACAGAAUCACAGAAUGUUGGGGUUGGAAGGGACCUCUGGAGAUCAUCUAAUCCAACCUACCUGCUAAAACAGGUUCACUCAGAGCAGAUGGCACAGGAAUGUGUCCAUGCGGGUCUUGAAUGUCUCCAGAGGAGACUCCACAGCCUCUCUGGGCAGCCUGUUCCAGGGCUCUGGUACCCUCAAAGGAAAGAAGUUUCUCCUCAUAUUUAAAUGGAACCUCCUGUGCUUCAGUGUAUGCCCAUUGCUCCUCAUCCUGUCAUUGGGCACCACUGAAAGGAGUCUGGUCCAUCGUCUUGAUACCCACCCUUGAGAUUUUUAAAAACAUUUUAAAAACAUUUUAAAAACAUCCCCUCUCAGCCUUCUCCAGGUUGAACAGACCCAGCUCUCUCAGUCUCUCCUCAUAACAAAGCUGCUCCAGACCCCUAAUCAUCUUUGUAGGCCAUUGCUGGACUCCCUCCAGUAAUUCCUUGUCCUUCUUAAACUGGGGAGCCCAGAACUGUACACGGAACUCCAGAUGCAGCCUCAGCAGGGCAGAGUACAGUGGGAGGAGAAUAUCUCUCAACCUGCUGGUCACACUCUUCUUAAUGCACCCCAGGAUACCAUUGGCCUUUUUGACCACAAGGGCACUCAUGGUCAGCCUGUUGUUGACCAGAACUCCCAAGUCCUUCUCUGCAGCACUGCUUUCCAGCAGGUCUGCCCCUAACCUGUACGGAUGCCUGGGGUUAUUUCUCCCCAGGUGCAGGAUCCUACACUUGCCCUUGUUAAACUUCAUCAGGUUCUUCUCUGCCCAGUCCUCCAGCCUGUCCAGGUGUCGCUGAAUGGUAGCACAGCAUUCUGGUGUGUCAGCUCUUCCUCCCAGUUUGGUAUCAUCAGCAAACUUGUUGAGGAUGCACUCAGUCUCUUAAUCCAGGUAACUGAUGAACAGGUUGAACAAGGCUGGACCUAACACUGACCCCUGGGGAACCUCACUAACUACAGGCCUCCAACCAGACUCUGCACUGUUGAUCACAGCGCUUGGAAUUCACAGGAAAAAGAUAUGUUCUAGAAACAUGGCAGUCUCCCAGGAGGCAGCUGCACGGCUGAUGGAAGGACACGUCCGCUGGCUGCCCGAGCCUCAUGGAUCGCAGCCCCUCGCCUCAAUCAUUUCCCUGCUGCCCUCCCACCGCAGACCGCUGUUGGUAGCCCUGCAGGCUGAGAAAGCUCUGCCUCAGUACCUGGGAUAUGAAAAGAUGAUAAUUCAUUAUCAUAUAAUGAUCUUCCAGACUGGGAGCUCAUCUCAACAGUAUGUUGAAGCAAUCCAUUCAGGUAUAACAGAAUAAAUAGGCCAAACUGUAUCCAAAAUCCCUGAGCCAUACACUAUUUAUUGGCAAUUGAAAGAUAAGCUUCAAAGAAGAAGCUACUGUAUAUUUGCCUUCUGGUAUAAAACUAUUUUAUAUUUUAAAAGUCUUGCAAAGCCGCCUGUCAGUCUAAGGUCCAUGGGAAGAAUGGGCUUUGAGCUGAAAGCUUUGAAUAUUGUGACUAGCAUUAGCUUUCAGCUUAACACUUCAAAAUUUCUUACAAUAAACUUUGUAAAUAUAUAUUUAUAAAGUAUACUGUCAUUGUUAAAGGACUUGUUGAAAUUAGACUUAAGAAAAUGGGGCAAUGUAUAUCCGAGCAAUAACUAAACAAUCAUCUGCCUUAUUUACAAAUGUGUUUCAAAAGGCAUUUUUUGACCAUAUACCCCUUGCUGUUAUCACUUUGGGAAAACAGUAGUUAAAUGCAGGACCUGAAGCUGUAGUUACAGAAUAGCAAUCAAUCAGUGACAAAUAGGCAUGUCUUAAUAUAAUCCCAAUACUAAAAAAAAAACAACAAAAACAAAACCCCCCCCCCCAAAAAAAACAAAACCCACCAAAACCAACCAAACAAAACCAAAACAAAAACACAAAAAACAAACCAAACAAACAAGCCUCACCAAAACAAAACAAAACCCCACAACACAAAAAACCUAUUUGUGAUGUUUCCUGGAACAAUAGCAGGAAGAGAUUGUAUACCAGCACUAACGGUUGUGCUUACUCACAUGCAGCUUUAUGCAAGCCAGCCUUCAGCUUAGUUCAGAAAAAUGGUGUAUCUUCAGAACAGCACAUAAGACUAUCCUGGGUCGCUUUAGAGAACUGCUUCAGCUGAGCCUGCCACUGGAGAUGAGAAAGAAAACGAAUUUUAAAAGAGCUUUUGCAUAUCAAAUUGUUACAAAUAGACUGGAUAUCAUAAUUUUAAUUGUUUUCUUGAAAAAAAGAGAGCUUUCUCUCUCCUUAGUUAUUUUUUUAAAAUCUAAUUCCACAGGUCUUCUAAAAUGUCUUUAGACUCUAAGCAAUAAAUGACUGGGUAGCACAGAGAAGAACAGGUUGAUGAAAUACAAAAAUGUGCAGGAGUGAAUGUCAAAAUCCAUAGUCGCUACAGCUUAUAUUUUGGGAGACAUACUGCAGUUUGCCCAUAUUGUGUUUGAACGAACAGUCUUACAACAUAGCAUGAAUUUCAAGAAUAGUAGAAAGAUUUCUUCACACAAAUUCCCAACAAUUUUAGGCAACACUGCUAUCUGCUGGGACACUUGGUCAAACCACAUAGAAAUGGCAGAGAAUAAUACCUCCAUUGCAGCAAGCUUGGCAAGAAACCAGAGACAAUGGCCAGAUGGUAAAUAACUUAGUCCCACGAAACAACACCAUGAAGUUGUGAAAAAAAAAAACUGAGAAGCUCAAUGACCUUGCACUUGUAAUCGACCAACAGUUGAACACUCUGCUUGAAGGCAAUGAGAACAUGGAUCCUGAAGGAAGGAAGUUUCUCUGUGUUCUGUCAACACUCACAGCUGUUUGUGCCAGUACACGGGCAUAAUCAGUGAGAAAAGUUGCAAAACUUGCCUGAACUGAGACACCAAUAUUUUAGUGGUGUUUCUGGUGAAAUGAAACCAUUUUAACAGCAGUGCCAGAUAAUGUGCUGGUCUUUCUAGGAGGUAAUUUGUUGUGCAAGUCAGAACUUGCACACCUGUGGUGUGACUGUUAUUAAAAAAUUAUAGUUACCUGCAGAAGCAAAUCAGCUGUUACAAAAAGCUGAACACCUUUUCAACAUACCACCUAACAAGUUUUUUGCUAAGUGCUUUCGGAGUAAUUCCAUUCACUUUAUAGACACAAUCAUAAAAGCUGGGACUGUUAAAAGUAGGACCCUUUGAAGAGGAGGACAUUGAUGAAAAUGAAAGCUACAAAUGUUGGUAAGUAAAAGUAAGCUGGAAACGUUUGAAAGUGUGUAUAUGGGCUCAAAGAAACUGUAGCUAUGAUUGUCAGUAAAACCAGUAUGCUUUUGGUAUGGUAGAAGACAUGUCCGUCUAUGAUGUGAACAACCUGAUGGUGACCACUAGCCAUGAAGUAUUGUAAAGCACAGCCAUUCUCCCAGUCAGUGCUACUCCCUGCACAGAACAGGUUGGGAAAAUGGUCUUUCUUUUUAAAUACCAAGAGAAUAGCUGGAUAAUGGAUAGAAAUAACUGCAGGAUUACUGAAUGUUCAAAUAUGAGAUGUAUUUAAGAAAGUCAGAUUGCUGUGUCCACAUGUUGACAAACAAGACACAUCCUAUUUCAUACCUCAUCAAUAAACUAUGUGUAAUUCUCACCUGGGAGGUCAUAGGGAAUGAUAGAAGCAGUGAACUAUGUAAGUUCUCAGGAUCAUGCUUCAGGGCUACAGAAAUAACUAGUGUUGGCAGAGCAGUGAAUGGAUAAGCCCGACUCAAACUCUGCUUCUGUUAGCUUUAACAUACUCCACCACCCUUAUUUACUACUCUUUACUGGUACUAGAGAUAACCAGGCAUUUAGUCUUUAAGUUAAAAACUUAAUCUCAUUUCCAGAAAGGGAAUUCUUGUUCCCUUUCUUUUGGGAUUGAUAAGAAGAAUGGAUGGGGGCUGCAGAACUUCCAUAUACAUUUUCGUUUUACUCUAGUGAGUAAACACUAGUCCUAGAGAGUCUGUAUCAAAUCAGCUGUAAACUAGUUGAUAUAAAAGCAACAUUCUUUUGCCUAGAUGAUUAUACCUAUUAACACAAAAAUUCAUUUGAUGUAUAUGUGAAGAAUUCCAGUGGUUGUCUUUUUGAUGUCAAGUAUGAAACAGCAUACACUUCAUUAAAUGGCACAUCAAAAGGAUGAAAAUACAAUCAUUAAUCUGUGUUUUAUGACAUUCUCCUAACAGUGUGUGGUAGAAACCCCUAUUGCAUCAAAUAGCAAGAAGACCUUGAAAAAUUCCUUGAGUGGUAAAAGGACUCUUCAUACUUCUCAUUUUUUCUACUUUUUAGAUUUCCUAAGCCCUCCAUUUUAUACCUGAAGGUAGCCAUACUCAUCCUUUUCUCACUGACGUAAUUUUAAAAUCUGCACAACAGAGGCAAGGUUAGGGAUGUAAAUUUUAAACAUGUUCCCACUGUGUUUACAUCCUUUCUCUUGGUGAAAAAUUAGUGUGUUUGAUCUGUCUGACUCUCUGAGUAAACUGAAUUCUUGGUGCAGUGCACUUAUCCAGGCCUAUAUUAAAGCAGGCUUAUCCAGGCCUAAAUUUCUUCUCCGACUGACCUAGCUCCUCCUUCUGAUGUACUGAGGAAUGUUUCUGUGUCUGAUGACACUACCCCAAUGUCAAAUUUAUAUUGCUUUAGAUAUUGUUUCUAAUCAGCAAGGAAAUCCAUACCUGGCAAGGAGGGCAGAUCUCCAUCCUCACUAGCAAGUGAGAAAUGAGAUGUAACUUUGACUCAAGAUGUCCCUCUCUCAUUUUAACAAGUUGUGAACACUUUGCCUGGCAGAACGAUGCCUGUAGCACUCAGCUUCUGGAAAGGAAAAAGAGGUAUCUGAAGCUUUAGACUGUUGGAAAAGAAUCUGCCUGUACAGGGAUAAAUUCCACACUGGGCACACAGAUGGAGGCAGAACAGAGGGGAUGUGGAGGGAUCAGUGCAUCACUCUCCAGAAACCCCGGGUGCUGGUUAUAAAAACUCUAAAAUGUACUGUGAUUUUAAAAAUAAAACACUUGUUAAAAUGAUGGAUGAAAACCUAAAUAAUAUAAUUAUUUUGAUUUUUCAUAUUUGAGAUUGAUAAAACUUUUGACUGUGAUUGUGUCCUGAAAGCAGCUACACGGACAGUUUCUGACUUUCUUCAUUUCACACUGAGCCUGAUGAAUUUCUGCCUGACAAAGAAAUGUAAUUCCACUCACUGUUGUAGCUUGCUUGUUGUAUUUCCAAUCCCUGAAUAUGCUAUUGAAUGAGUUUUCUGACAAGAAUGUUCACUUAAACAGAAGAUGAAAGUAAAUAUUGGAGCAGGUUCACAGAAGAUUCCUUCUUCUCCAGCCUGCGAAUGAGAAUAUUAAUACUGGAAAUAUGCUUCCACAGUAUAAUAUUUAUCCCAUAACAAUAAUGUGACCUAUUUAUGCUAUUAAAACCAAUCAAUACAGUUGGAAAUAAACAUGUAGAUGUUCAUUAUACCAGAGAAGACACUCUACUGAAAAUAUUUUCUUUCUAACUAUUGAAUAAAGUAAAUACAAAAGCAGGAAAUAACAGUUUAAAAUAUGCACUGCCAUUAGGAAGGAGGAGAAUUUAAGUUUUCAGGCUGCAGGAUUUGUCAAAGCAAAUUUUAUCAUUUAAAAGUACUCCUGUAUUACCUGCUUACAGGGACAUACAUCAUUCAGGCAAGAAACAGAAGUGAUAUCAUAUGACUUAACAGGAUAAUUUGCUUUCCAUACUUCCAUUAUUAAAUCCUAAGAAUAAUCAUGCCAAUAUUUCUGAGCCACCUGUCGUAGGGAAAAAUUGACUAAGAAAAAUGUUAGUAAUUCUGAGUGAAGGAUGAAGUCAACAUUUCCCUAGUCUUUUCAUAAGCUUUUGAAGAAAAGGAACACAAUUUUACAUGCAGUGUAUCUUUUUGAUACCAGUCAUUUAUGUAUACUUACUACAAAUCCAGAUUCCUUUCCCUUUUAAGGUUUUACUGCACAGCAGAAAACAGUAUAAUCUUGCCUCCUGCAUU